GUGGGGAAUUUUGGACAAUGGGCGAAAGCCUGAUCUAGCAAUGCCGCGUGUGUGAAGAAGGCCUUCGGGUUGUAAAGCACUUUUGUCCGGAAAGAAAUCCUUUGGGUUAAUACCUCGGAGGGAUGACGGUACCGGAAGAAUAAGGACCGGCUAACUACGUGCCAGCAGCCGCGGUAAUACGUAGGGUCCGAGCGUUAAUCGGAAUUACUGGGCGUAAAGCGUGCGCAGGCGGUUUUGUAAGACAGAUGUGAAAUCCCCGGGCUUAACCUGGGAAUUGCAUUUGUGACUGCAAGGCUAGAGUGUGUCAGAGGGGGGUAGAAUUCCACGUGUAGCAGUGAAAUGCGUAGAGAUGUGGAGGAAUACCGAUGGCGAAGGCAGCCCCCUGGGAUAACACUGACGCUCAUGCACGAAAGCGUGGGGAGCAAACAGGAUUAGAAACCCUUGUAGUCC
rnacentral:rRNA from 1 species